GCAGCAUGAUGCAGCCAUGCCGCGUGUGUGAAGAAGGCCUUCGGGUUGUAAAGCACUUUCAGUAAGGAGGAAAGGUUAAGUGUUAAUAGCACUUAGCUGUGACGUUACUUACAGAAGAAGCACCGGCUAACUCCGUGCCAGCAGCCGCGGUAAU
rnacentral:rRNA from 1 species